rnacentral:ncRNA from 1 species
GACUCCCUAGCCUGUAACUAUGACUCUCUUAAGGUAGCCAAAUGCCUCAUUAUCUAAUUAGUGACGCGCAUGAAUGGAU